GGCAAUAUGGCCGAGCGGUCUAAGGCGCCGUGUUCAGGUGUUUCAAUCUGAAUUCGCGGUCCGAAAGGGCGUGGGUUCGAAUCCCACUGUUGUCA